rnacentral:rRNA from 1 species
CGACGCCGCGUGCGGGAUGAGGCCUUCGGGUUGUAAACCGCUUUCAGCAGGGAAGAAGCGAAAGUGACGGUACCUGCAGAAGAAGCACCGGCUAACUAUGUGCCAGCAGCCGCGGUAAUAA